rnacentral:rRNA from 1 species
CCUACGGGGGGCAGCAGUGGGGGAUAUUGCACAAUGGGGGAAACCCUGAUGCAGCGACGCCGCGUGGGUGAAGAAGCGCCUCGGCGCGUAAAGCCCUGUCAGCAGGGAAGAAAAUGACGGUACCUGAAGAAGAAGCCCCGGCUAACUACGUGACAGCAGCCGCGGGAAUAUGCAGGGGGCAAGCGUUAUCCGGAUUUACUGGGUGUAAAGGGGGCGCAGAGGGCGAUGCAAGUCAGGAGUGAACGCCCGGGGCCCAAACCCGGGACUGCUCUUGGAACUGGGUGGCUAGAGUGCAGGAGGGGCAGGCGGAAGUCGUGGUGUAGCGGUGAAAUGCGUAGAUAUCAGGAGGAACACCGGUGGCGAAGGCGGCCUGCUGGACUGCAACUGACGUUGAGGCCCGAGAGCGUGGGGAGCAAACAGGAUUAGAUACCCGGGUAGUC